rnacentral:sRNA from 1 species
UAAAAAAAGGGGUUGUAGGGGAUGAAAUCCCCUGCCGUACUAAGGCGGGUGCUCAGACAGCUUUGCUGUCGUCAAC